GCGGCUAUAGUUUAAUGGCAGAACAUCGGGUUGUGGUCCCGAACGCGAGAGUUCGAUUCUCUCUAGCCGCC
rnacentral:tRNA from 1 species